rnacentral:lncRNA from 1 species
AGUUUUAUACCCGGUGUUUAAUCUGUGGUUCGCCAAAUCCCAACAACCUUGACGAAUACCCCGGAAUCCGCGCACCUGAGUGACGGGGUUUGUUACGCGAGAUCCACGGAGUCUGUUGGUGCUCACCCCGGUUCGCGACGACGAAGGAGAAGAGCAUUACAAGUGGGCCUCACAUGCAAGAGACACAUAAAGCCACACACGGAGGUGAGCAGUCACUGGGCACUAGGACCCACCCGUCGGCGCGAGUGGCCGCGUGGACGAGUGUGGGCAGAUGGUUGCUGGGCCGAGGGGAUGAGAAGCGGCCCAAACGUGAGUUUCCUUUCUUUUCCAAUUUUUUUCUUUUCCUAUUUCUUAUUUUCGAAUUCCAAUUGAAUUCACUUUUGAAUCCGCAUUUGAAUUUUCUAUCUCAAACAAAAUGCACAAUCAGAAUCCAACAUGGUGCAAUAUUCAUUAUAUAUAUAUAUAUAUAUCCAAUCAUUUCUUAUUCUACAUAAGAAAUUGCUUUUCAAUAUGUAGCACCCAUGUAAUUAUUUUAAGAAUAAUAGUUUAUAUAUAUUGUAUGAUCUCUCAAAAAAAUUGUUCUCACAUUAAUACUUAUAAACUUCAAUAAAGGCUAAUUUUAUAUAAGAAUCUUUUUAUUGAAUUUUUGUUGUUAUAAAACUUUUAUUUAAGGAGAUAUGACUUCAAAUGUUAUGGGAAUUAUAAGGAGAGAAAAAAUAUAUUCUAAUUCAAGAUCUUUUCUUUAAAAAAAUUACUAUAUUUUCAAAAUGAGAUUUAGGGUGUUACAAAUCCUACCCCCUUAACAGAAAUCUUGUCCUCGAGAUUUGUAAGAAAAGGGUGAAAAAGCCUUAUUUAUAGUUUACUUUUAGUUUCUAAUUAGUUUAAGAAUAAGAAGUUUUUAAUUAGAAAGUGAUUAGGAAAGCAUGGGUUUUUACAUGUAUAGCCAUUUUAUUAUGUAGAAUAAAAGAUGGGUAGGUUAGGGCAAGAAUAACCUAGGGUAAGAAAGUUUAUGGUGAGAAAGAAUUCCGUGUUGAGUGGCAAUGCAGUUGAAGGUCGAGUUUGACUUCUCUCCUUCCUUGACGAGGUUGAUCUUUUCUUCUCCAGUCUUGGUCUUAUUGAGUCGGGGUCAGUGUAUAUCAUCGAAGUUGGGGGAAUAUGGUUAAGAUAGUUAUGAGUGAGAUGGACUACAUGGUGUAGAUCAAAACCUUGUUUGAUGUUAGGUGGGAGUAGAUAGGUUAUACAAUUCAUCAUGACUCUAUUGGUUGAGUUAUAUAUUCUGCUCGUGGUUGUUAUUCUAGAGUGGGAUAAAUAUGUUAAUUAGGGCAAGAUGAAUCCAUAAGGAUAGGGUAGAAUCUUUUGAGGUCAGUUAGAUCUAUUAGGGUGACAUAAGAUCUUUUCAAGAUAAGAUGAGUAUCUUUUAAGAUAAGAUUGAUCUAUGUAUGAUAGAAUCUUUCAAAAUUAGAUGGAUAUUGUUAGGCUAGAUACUUUAAUGAGGGAUAAUUUAGUUUAUCUAGUUAUUUUUAUAAGCAUUUUUUCCUAUAUGUAUAUGCAGAUGUAAUUGUGGACAUUACUCCACAACUCAUCACAAUCAAUCAAAGAUCCAAAUCAGACAAAUAUCAUAAGAACAAACAUUCAAGUGUAUAGAUACCUACAAAAAUAGUUUUGUUUUUGUUCCUAAGAGUAGGUCUCCUAUUCCUAAAGGUCACUUUAGGCAUAGGAUUUCAAAGUGUGAAAUCCACUUUUGUCUUUUAGAAAGAAAAGAUAAGAAUAAUCAGAGUAAAGCGGAAAUAGAUGAGAAAAGAUUAAGAUAAGUUUAGAAAGAAUCAGAGUAGCAGAGGUAAGUAGACAAUGGUUGUCCAGUUCUAUCUAGGUUUCGUCCUACAGUCAACAUUCCUCUGAUACCACUUCUGUCACACCUGGGUUUCGGGGGCACCAAGACCCGGGCGCGAACAUAAUCACCAGGUGUGCUGGGACCAAGUCUCACAUAUAUGAUGAAUCAUGGCACAGGAUCGAAUGUCACAUCUUUACUAAAUAACAGGAGUUCUAUACAAAAUAAAUGAAUAAUUACAUUAUAAGGAGACAACGGUCCAGCAACCCAAAGUUGACUGGGAGACGACGGCCUAGAUCUCUCACAAACACAUCGCAGCAUCCUCUAAGCGCCUCAUCCGGUAGUACCUGUUCUUGACCUGUGGGGGUGUGAGACAGCAAGAGUGAGCUCACAUACGUUCAUCGCUCAACAAGUUGUGGGGAAUAAUGUGCAUGAACUCGCCAAAGGUGGGAGCUCACGUGAAGUGUAAGGCUUACCAAAGAGGAUGGUUGAAGCUGAGCAUUGCUUUUAAAGUUGGUCAAAAUUUUAUUAGCAAUUACUAAGUAUAAGUAAAUACCAACCUAAUUAAGUAGUAGAACAAAAGUAACAACAUCACCUGCGAUGCAAUGCAUAUGACAAAUUGAAUUUAGUUCCAUAAAUUAAUCAUGUGAGGGUCCGAGCUGCUCAUGACCGUGAGCACGGCUAGUAUACCAGUUUUACACUCUGCAGAGGUUGCGCAUCUUUACCCACAAGUCAUGUUACCCAUCUGCCAAGGGAUCGCGACUUCCCAUACACCUCUACCGAGGAGGCGAGGCAGGGUAACACUACGAGGCCUCUAAAAAGUUCCACUAGCUUCAGAAAACCCGCUACAGUUUAUAGGAAGCUCCAAUGCAGGGAUCCCUCGCCUGACCGCCAUCGCAGCAAAAUCAACCAAGGACCUCCCUACACUGACCACUCCCCUACUGCCCUUGCCCCUUUCGGGUAAGGUAUUCCUCCACUAGCUUUCCUAAUUAAUCAGCCAAGGGCGUCCAUAAACCCUUGUGGUAGCACUGUUUUCCCGGGUGGUCGCUCCAUGUUCCAAUUAACAUAAUGAUCUUAUCAUGAACAGUAAAUAACAACGGAUAACAAAAGUAUAAUCAUGAAUAAUGUGUAUCUCAAUGCCCAAAUCCACAUAAAGCACUAGCAAGUACUACCCAGAAGUUUAGUGGUAAACAAGGCAUAAAGAUAGUCAAACUAGGGUGACCUAUUGGGUCCCAUCAAAAUUAACCUAUGCAGAUCAUUAUGAUUAAUCAGAACAUGAAUGGGUAAAAAGAAGUGAUCAAGGGCACAACUUGCCUGGCACUUGAGAUUCCAUGUACCAACUUGCUCUUCAGGUGGCUCGUAACCUCGCACUAGUCGUAGCAAUACAAACGAACAUGGUAUAGGAAAAAUUAACAUCACACCAAACAUAAGAAUAAACUACUUAAUGAUAAUCUACGCGUUGCUACGAGAUCGUAGGUUUGAGAACUGCUAAAUUGGGAGUUACGGUUAAGGGGUUAUGAUUUUAUAGACGUUCUAUGUGAUUAAAUUACUAAACUAUAUUAUGAAUUGGUUAGUAUAAAUCAUAUGAGAGAAGAUAUUAAAGUAAUAAUUGAUUCAACUCUAAUCUAGGUUAUAAUCUUGAUUAGAGAUCUCGUUUUAGUCAAACUAUAAUUAUAGGUAGGUUGGCAUAACUAGAUUGAUUAAUCAACUAACACAAGUUAAAUAAUUAUCCAAUUAUAAAAGUAUGUGAACUGAUAAAAAUAAUGUUUUUAAGGUGUACAAAAUUUUAUUACAAAGUUAAUGCAAUUUGAACGGAGCAAAACAGAGUUAGAAUGAAUUAAAUAUGGCUUAACAAGUUUUGAGCAUUAUUUUUAUACCAAAAUCACCUUAAACAUUAAUUUCACUAAUAAUUAAAGGUUAAUAGGCUGCGGCCACUAAUACCAGAGAGCACAGGGUGUUUCUUAUAAAUUUCGGGACUAAACCGUGAUACUCUUCCCACAGUCCCGGACAACGGGUUUAUUUAAAAAAGAGCAGGGGCUCUUAUGCAAAUCCACACAGCCAAAGGGGUAUCAAGCGACUGCAGCCAUCCGAUCAACCAACAGCGGCCAUGAUUAGUUCAAACUUAUAAGCGGACUGGUAUUCGCGGGUGGCCGCCAGAUCACGAUCCAACGGACCGGAUCCGAACUGGUGAAGGGGUAUCUAGACACCUAAUCUCAAUCGUCCGUUAACUAUCCAAUGGCCCAAGGCCUCUCUUCUUCCCUUAUUUCUCUCUCUCCCCCACCGGUGCCAGCCCGACGGCACUGAGCAGAGGCACGGCGGCGCCAUCGCCGACCCCGCCCAAACCAUUGGCCCGAGCACCAAUCCAUGACCCGGACAGUGCUACACGAACUAUGGAGCAAGGUGAAUUAAAUAAGCUGAUUCUCACCGACGAUUGGGACGCGCAGAAUCACUGCCACGGAGAUGCGUAACACUACAGUGGAGAAAGGAUUCCUAUGAGAAAUCUCGCGGUCACAUGUGCUCCACGACUCUCCCAGCGCUCUCCCAGCAAGUUCCGAGUCGAUCCCCGAGAGCUCGUCGCCGGCGGAAAUCCUUCUUCUCUUUCUUCUCCUCCCAUGGUUUCGCUCAGCCUGCGCUCGGCUUGGUGCUGUCCGCUCUGACCUAGCCUAUCUGUAGAGGGGGCGAUGGUGCUCGAGUUUUAUACCCGGUGUUUGAUCUGUGGUUCGCCAAAUCCCAACAACCUUGACGAAUACCCCGGAAUCCGCGCACCUGAGUGACGGGGUUUGUUACGCGAGAUCCACGGAGUCUGUUGGUGCUCAACCCGGUUCGCGACGACGAAGGAGACGAGCAUUACAAGUGGGCCCCACAUGCAAGAGACACAUAAAGCCACACACGGAGGUGAGCAGUCACUGGGCACUAGGACCCACCCGUCGGCGCGAGUGGCCGCGUGGACGAGUGUGGGCAGAAGGUUGCUGGGCCGAGG